GCCGUAGUCCCAGUACUCAGGAGGCUGAGGUAGAGGACGGCUUGAGUCCAGGAGUUCUGGGCUGCAAUGUGCUAUGCCAAUGGGGGAUUCACACUAAGUCUGGCAUCAGUAUGGUGACCUCUCAGGAGCAGGGGACCACCAGGUUGCCUAAGGAGGGUGAACUGUACCAGGAUGGAAAUAAAGCAGGUCAAAACUUCUGUGUUAAUCAGUCAAUACUCUUUGAUAUCUUUCUCUGCAAACCAAGUUCAGUGCAGAAGAUUAGAGACCUGAAA
rnacentral:SRP_RNA from 1 species